rnacentral:rRNA from 1 species
AGAUCGAACGCUGGCGGCAGGCCUAACACAUGCAAGUCGAGCGGUGGAGAGGUGCUUGCAUCUCUUGAGAGCGGCGGACGGGUGAGUAAUGCCUAGGAAUCUGCCUAGUGGUGGGGGAUAACGUUCGGAAACGGACGCUAAUACCGCAUACGUCCUACGGGAGAAAGCGGGGGACCUUCGGGCCUCGCGCCAUUAGAUGAGCCUAGGUCGGAUUAGCUAGUUGGUGAGGUAAUGGCCCACCAAGGCGACGAUCCGUAACUGGUCUGAGAGGAUGAUCAGUCACACUGGAACUGAGACACGGUCCAGAC